UACGGAGGGUGCAAACGUUGCUCGGAAUCAUUGGGCGUAAAGCGCGCGUAGGCGGCCUGAUAAGUCGGAUGUGAAAGCCCUCGGCUUAACCGAGGAAGUGCAUUCGAAACUGUCAGGCUUGAGUAUGGGAGAGGAUUGCGGAAUUCCCGGUGUAGAGGUGAAAUUCGUAGAUAUCGGGAGGAACAACAGAGGCGAAGGCGGAAAUCUGGACCAAUACUGAUGCUGAGGUGCGAAAGCGUGGGGAGCAAACAGG
rnacentral:rRNA from 1 species